ensembl:misc_RNA Metazoa_SRP Metazoan signal recognition particle RNA
GCCAGGCACGGUGGCGCGUGGCUAUAGUCCCAGCUACUCGGGAGGCUGGGGAUGGAUGAUCACCUGAGUCCAGGAGUUCUGGGCUGUACUGCGCUAUGCCGAUCGGGUGUCUGCACUAAGUUCGCCAUCAAUAUGGUGACCUCCCAGGAGUGGAGGACUAUCAGAUUGCCUAAGGAGGGGUGAACCGGCCCAGGUCGGAACGGAGCAGGUCAAAACUCCCGUGCUGAUCAGUAGUGGGAUCUUGCCUGUGAAUAGCCACUGCACUUCAGCCUGGUCAACAUUGUGAGACCCCUGUCUCU